UGGGGAAUAUUGGACAAUGGGCGCAAGCCUGAUCCAGCAAUGCCGCGUGAGUGAUGAAGGCCUUCGGGUUGUAAAGCUCUUUUGGCGGGGACGAUGAUGACGGUACCCGCAGAAGAAGCCCCGGCUAACUUCGUGCCAGCAGCCGCGGUAAUACGAAGGGGGCGAGCGUUGUUCGGAUUUACUGGGCGUAAAGGGCGCGUAGGCGGCCAUUCAAGUCAGGCGUGAAAGCCCCGGGCUCAACCUGGGAACGGCGCUUGGGACUGGGUGGCUGGAGUUCGGGAGAGGAGAGUGGAAUUCCCAGUGUAGAGGUGAAAUUCGUAGAUAUUGGGAAGAACACCGGUGGCGAAGGCGGCUCUCUGGACCGAUACUGACGCUGAGGCGCGAAAGCGUGGGGAGCAAACAGGAUUAGAUACCCCCGUAGUCC
rnacentral:rRNA from 1 species